rnacentral:rRNA from 1 species
AACGAACGCUGGCGGCAGGCUUAACACAUGCAAGUCGAACGCGUGCAGCAAUGCACGAGUGGCGCACGGGUGAGUAACGCGUGGAUAUCUGCCUUUUGGUUCGGAAUAACCCCGGGAAACUGGGGCUAAUACCGGAUGGUUCCUACGGGAUAAAGAUUUAUCGCCAAAAGAUGAGUCCGCGUCCGAUUAGCUAGUUGGUGAGGUAAUGGCUCACCAAGGCGACGAUCGGUAGCUGGUCUGAGAGGACGAUCAGCCACACUGGGACUGAGACACGGCCCAGACUCCUACGGGAGGCAGCAGUGGGGAAUAUUGGGCAAUGGGGGCAACCCUGAUCCAGCCAUGCCGCGUGAGUGAUGAAGGCCUUCGGGUUGUAAAGCUCUUUUGGCGGGGACGAUGAUGACGGUACCCGCAGAAUAAGCCCCGGCUAACUUCGUG